rnacentral:rRNA from 1 species
GAUGAACGCUGGCGGCGUGCCUAAUACAUGCAAGUCGAGCGAACGGACGAGAAGCUUGCUUCUCUGAUGUUAGCGGCGGACGGGUGAGUAACACGUGGAUAACCUACCUAUAAGACUGGGAUAACUUCGGGAAACCGGAGCUAAUACCGGAUAAUAUUUUGAACCGCAUGGUUCAAAAGUGAAAGACGGCCUUGCUGUCACUUAUAGAUGGAUCCGCGCUGCAUUAGCUAGUUGGUAAGGUAACGGCUUACCAAGGCAACGAUGCAUAGCCGACCUGAGAGGGUGAUCGGCCACACUGGAACUGAGACACGGUCCAGACUCCUACGGGAGGCAGCAGUAGGGAAUCUUCCGCAAUGGGCGAAAGCCUGACGGAGCAACGCCGCGUGAGUGAUGAAGGUCUUCGGAUCGUAAAACUCUGUUAUUAGGGAAGAACAUAUGUGUAAGUAACUGUGCACAUCUUGACGGUACCUAAUCAGAAAGCCAUGGCUAACUACGUG